rnacentral:rRNA from 1 species
GGAUCGGGCUAAACUUGCAAGUCGUGCGGACCUUUAAAAGCUUGCUUUUAAAAGGUUAGCGGCGGACGGGUGAGUAACACGUGGGCAACCUGCCUGUAAGAUCGGGAUAACGCCGGGAAACCGGGGCUAAUACCGGAUAGUUUUUUCCUCCGCAUGGAGGAAAAAGGAAAGACGGCUUCGGCUGUCACUUACAGAUGGGCCCGCGGCGCAUUAGCUAGUUGGUGGGGUAACGGCUCACCAAGGCAACGAUGCGUAGCCGACCUGAGAGGGUGAUCGGCCACAUUGGGACUGAGACACGGCCCAAACUCCUACGGGAGGCAGCAGUAGGGAAUCUUCCGCAAUGGACGAAAGUCUGACGGAGCAACGCCGCGUGAGUGAAGAAGGCCUUCGGGUCGUAAAACUCUGUUGCCGGGGAAGAACAAGUGCCGUUCGAACAGGGCGGCGCCUUGACGGUACCCGGCCAGAAAGCCACGGCUAACUACGUGCCAGCAGCCGCGGUAAUACGUAGGUGGCAAGCGUUGUCCGGAAUUAUUGGGCGUAAAGCGCGCGCAGGCGGCUUCUUAAGUCUGAUGUGAAAUCUUGCGGCUCAACCGCAAGCGGUCAUUGGAAACUGGGAGGCUUGAGUGCAGAAGAGGAGAGUGGAAUUCCACGUGUAGCGGUGAAAUGCGUAGAGAUGUGGAGGAACACCAGUGGCGAAGGCGGCUCUCUGGUCUGUAACUGACGCUGAGGCGCGAAAGCGUGGGGAGCAAACAGGAUUAGAUACCCUGGUAGUCCACGCCGUAAACGAUGAGUGCUAAGUGUUAGAGGGUUUCCGCCCUUUAGUGCUGCAGCUAACGCAUUAAGCACUCCGCCUGGGGAGUACGGGCCGCAAGGCUGAAACUCAAAGGAAUUGACGGGGGCCGCACAAGCGGUGGAGCAUGUGGUUUAAUUCGAAGCAACGCGAAGACCUUACCAGGUCUUGACAUCCUCUGAUCCUCCCUGGAGACAGGGCUUCUCCUUCGGGGGACAGAGUGACAGUGUGCAUGAUGUCGUCAGCUCGUGUCGUGAGAUGGUGGUAGUCCCGCACGAGCGCAUCCCUUGACAUAGUGCAGCAUCAGUGGCACCUCUAAGGUGACUGCGUGACAUCGAGAGGUGGGAUGACGUCAUCAUCAUGCCGUUACAGACCUUGCCUCACACACGUGUCUCUCAAUUGGGAAGUGUCCAAGCUCGCGGAGAAACUGGCAG